rnacentral:rRNA from 1 species
UCCCUAUGGGGUGCAGCAGGCGCGAAAACUCCACAAUGUACGGAAGUACGAUGGGGUUAUCUCGAGUGCAGUCCGAUAAGGGCUGCUUUUCCAUAGAGUAAUAUCCUGUGGGAAUAAGAGGGGGGCAAGACUGGUGUCAGCCGCCGCGGUAACACCAGCCCCUCGAGUGGUGGGGACUAUUAUUUGGCCUAAAGCGUCCGUAGCUGGCUGUAUCCGUCCCCCGUUAAAUCCAGCGUCCUAAGCGUUGGACCGCGGGUGAUACCAUACAGCUAGAGGGUGGGAUAGGUGGGCGGUAUUUCUGGGGUAGGGGCGAAAUCCUUUGAUCCCAGGAGGACCACCAGUGGCGAAGGCUGCCCACUAGAACACGCCUGACGGUCAGGGACGAAAGCUGGGGCAGCGAACCGGAUUAGAUACCCGGGUAGUCCCAGCUGUAAACGAUGCUAGCUAGGUGUUGGGUCGGCCACGCGCCGCCCCAGUGCCGCAGGGAAGCCGUUAAGCUAGCCGCCUGGGGAGUACGGCCGCAAGGCUGAAACUUAAAGGAAUUGGCGGGGGAGCACCACCAGGCGUGAAGCCUGCGGUUUAAUUGGAGUCAACGCCGGAAAUCUUACCAGGAUCGACAGCAGAGUGAAGGCCAGAUUGAAGGUCUUGCUAGACGAGCUGAGAAGAGGUGCAUGGCCA